rnacentral:rRNA from 1 species
GACGAACGCUGGCGGCGUGCCUAAUACAUGCAAGUAGAACGCUGAAAGAGGAGCUUGCUCUUCUGGAUGAGUUGCGAACGGGAGAGUAACGCGUAGGUAACCUGCCUGGUAGCGGGGGAUAACUAUUGGAAACGAUAGCUAAUACCGCAUAAUAUUGACUAUUGCAUGAUAGUCAAUUGAAAGGUGCAAAUGCACCACUACCAGAUGGACCUGCGUUGUAUUAGCUAGUUGGUGGGGUAACGGCUCACCAAGGCGACGAUACAUAGCCGACCUGAGAGGGUGAUCGGCCAAACUGGGACUGAGACACGGCCCAGACUCCUACGGGAGGCAGCAGUAGGGAAUCUUCGGCAAUGGACGGAAGUCUGACCGAGCAACGCCGCGUGAGUGAAGAAGGUUUUCGGAUCGUAAAGCUCUGUUGUAAGAGAAGAACGAGUGUGAGAAG